GACGAACGCUGGCGGCGUGCUUAACACAUGCAAGUCGAACGGUGACGGAGAGCUUGCUCUCCUGAUCAGUGGCGAACGGGUGAGUAACACGUGGGCAACCUGCCCAGACUUCGGGAUAACGCUUCGAAAGAGGUGCUAAUACCGGAUACGAGCUCCUUGGGCAUCCUUGGAGUUGGAAAGUUUUUCGGUCUGGGAUGGGCCCGCGGCCUAUCAGCUAGUUGGUGAGGUAACGGCUCACCAAGGCGACGACGGGUAGCCGGCCUGAGAGGGCGACCGGCCACACUGGGACUGAGACACGGCCCAGACUCCUACGGGAGGCAGCAGUGGGGAAUAUUGCGCAAUGAGCGAAAGCCUGACGCAGCAACGCCGCGUGAGGGAUGACGGCC
rnacentral:rRNA from 1 species